UACGUAGGGGGGCAAGCGUUUGUCCGGAUUUAUUGGGCGUAAAGAGCGUGUAGGCGGUUUUACAGGUCCGCUGUGAAAACUCGAGGCUCAACCUCGAGCUGUCGGUGGAAACCGUAAGGCUAGAGUCCGGAAGAGGAGAGUGGGAAUUCCUGGUGUAGCGGUGAAAUGCGCAGAUAGUCAGGAAGAACACCCGUGGCGAAGGCGGCGUCCUCGUGGGACGGUACUGACGCU
rnacentral:rRNA from 1 species